CCUACGGGAGGCAGCAGUGGGGAAUCUUGCGCAAUGGCCGAGAGGCUGACGCAGCGACGCCGCGUGGGGGAUGAAGCAUUUCGGUGUGUAAACCCCUGUUGCUCGGGACGAACGACCCUUUUCGAGGGGUGUGACGGUACCGAGUGAGGAAGCACCGGCUAACUCCGUGCCAGCAGCCGCGGUAAUACGGAGGGUGCAAGCGUUGUCCGGAAUCACUGGGCGUAAAGGGCGCGUAGGUGGUUGGAUGCGCCGGUGGUGAAAGCGCAGGGCUCAACCCUGCGUCGGCCAUCGGGACGGUCCGACUGGAGCACUGUAGAGGCAGGUGGAAUUCCGGGUGUAGCGGUGGAAUGCGUAGAGAUCCGGAAGAACACCGGUGGCGAAGGCGGCCUGCUGGGCAGUUGCUGACACUGAGGCGCGACAGCGUGGGGAGCAAACAGGAUUAGAUACCCUGGUAGUCCACGCCGUAAACGAUGGGCACUAGGUGCUUGGGGGAGCGACCCCCUGAGUGCCGACGCUAACGCAUUAAGUGCCCCGCCUGGGGAGUACGACCGCAAGGUUGAAACUUAAGGAAUUGACGG
rnacentral:rRNA from 1 species